CAGUCGCCGCGGGAAUACGAGGGGGGCAAGCGUUGUUCGGAAUUACUGGGCGUAAAGCGUGCGUAGGCGGUUUGUUAAGUCUGCUGUGAAAUCCCCGGGCUCAACCUGGGAAUGGCAGUGGAUACUGGCAAGCUAGAGUGUGUCAGAGGAUGGUGGAAUUCCCGGUGUAGCGGUGAAAUGCGUAGAGAUCGGGAGGAACAUCAGUGGCGAAGGCGGCCAUCUGGGACAACACUGACGCUGAGGCACGAAAGCGUGGGGAGCAAACAGGAUUAGAUACCCCUGUAGUCCCUGUCUCUUAUAC
rnacentral:rRNA from 1 species